UACUUUGUUAUUAGUUAUAAAAAGGAUAACACUUGCUGCGCCCCAGCUGGAGCAUCGCAGCGCCAGUGUGGAUGCCCUGGUCUGUUAGUGCGCUCUGAUUGGCCUCCAGAAGUGUCCCACAAUGCCCGUUCUAGCCACUCUGGUCAUCACUUUGAACUCCACUGCCCUACCCUUAGGUGACCAAC